UACGGAGGAUCCAAGCGUUAUCCGGAAUUAUUGGGCGUAAAGAGCUCGUAGGCGGUUUGUCGCGUCUGCCGUGAAAGUCCGGGGCUCAACUCCGGAUCUGCGGUGGGUACGGGCAGACUAGAGUGAUGUAGGGGAGACUGGAAUUCCUGGUGUAGCGGUGAAAUGCGCAGAUAUCAGGAGGAACAUCGAUUGCGAAGGCAGCUCGCUACGCUAUUAUUGACACUGAGGCACGAAAGCGUGGGGAUCAAACAGG
rnacentral:rRNA from 1 species